rnacentral:rRNA from 1 species
AUUGAACGCUGGCGGCAGGCCUAACACAUGCAAGUCGAGCGAGCGGCGGACGGGUGAGUAAUGUCUGGGCAACUGCCUGAUGGAGGGGGAUAACUACUGGAAACGGUAGCUAAUACAGCAUACCAUCAGAUGUGCCCAGAUGGGAUUAGCUAGUAGUUGGGGUAACGGCUCACCUAGGCGACGAUCACUAGCUGGUCUGAGAGGAUGACCAGCGACACUGGAACUGAGACACGGUCCAGAAGCCUACGGGAGGCAGCAGUGGGGAAUAUUGCACAAUGGGCGGAAGCCUGAUGCAGCCAGGCCGCGUGUGUGAAGAAGGCCUUCGGGUUGUAAAGCACUUUCAGCGGGGAGGCGUUGACCGCAGAAGAAGCACAGGCUAACUCCGUGCCAACAGGCGCGGGAAUUC